CGGUCUCUGAAUUGCUGUAUAUU
rnacentral:siRNA from 1 species